rnacentral:pre_miRNA from 1 species
UUUAAGUGUAUUUGUGGAUUUUCGUAUCAAACAUUUUACCAUCCAUCUUAUUUGAUUUUUUUAUUAGUAUUUUUGUUGCUAUUAGAUGAUAAAACAUAAAUAAUACUUUAUACGUGACUUUUUUUAACUUUUUAUAUUUUUUAAAUAAAAUAGAACGUUGGACAUAGAAACCCACGGCU